AAUUUGAGGCCAAGGUAAGUCAUCUGACUCACGUUGUGCAUAGGCAGCCCUAAGGUGUAUUAGUUUACUAAUCGGGUCUUAGGGGGUAGAACUUGCUGAAACGUUGUCUCAGUAGUUAUUGAAUAACCAUUUCAGGACCUGGAUGAGGAGUCUAAGGAGUAUGAAUCUGAUGAGGAGAUCCCUGUUGAGGAACCUGAAGAGGAGUACGUGGAGGAGGACCCCGAGGAUAACCCCGAGUAUGAUCUGGAUGAGGAUUGGGAUCCCGUCCUGUCUUGUCAAACCUUGUGUGCAUGUGAAUAGAUGUUAGACCUGAAGUGUAUAUAUAUACAUAAGGAUGUGGUUUUCAGGUUCAGGUUUCUAGUCCUACUUGUAUAUCCCAUUGCUUUAUUGUCUGGGGAUUGUUAUAACUACUUCCGCAUGUGCUAUUAAAAAUGACAGGGUCGGCGAUAUGUAGUCCUGAGGAUAUCGCAUAAUAAAAUCGACCAAGCUUGAAGGAUGGUCACGUGACCGAGAGUCGGGGCGUGACAAUGGGUGUCCUAAGAUAAUAUGUUAUUGACAAGUUAAAAGCUUUAUCAAAUCUGGCAGUGAUGCAAAGUGGUCAUUUAUAAA
rnacentral:lncRNA from 1 species